GACGAACGCUGGCGGCGUGCCUAAUACAUGCAAGUAGAACGCUGAAGAAGAGGAGCUUGCUCUUCUUGGAUGAGUUGCGAACGGGUGAGUAACGCGUAGGUAACCUGCCUUGUAGCGGGGGAUAACUAUUGGAAACGAUAGCUAAUACCGCAUAACAAUGGAUGACACAUGUCAUUUAUUUGAAAGGGGCAAUUGCUCCACUACAAGAUGGACCUGCGUUGUAUUAGCUAGUAGGUGAGGUAACGGCUCACCUAGGCGACGAUACAUAGCCGACCUGAGAGGGUGAUCGGCCACACUGGGACUGAGACACGGCCCAGACUCCUACGGGAGGCAGCAGUAGGGAAUCUUCGGCAAUGGGGGCAACCCUGACCGAGCAACGCCGCGUGAGUGAAGAAGGUUUUCGGAUCGUAAAGCUCUGUUGUAAGUCAAGAACGAGUGUGAGAGUGGAAAGUUCACACUGUGACGGUAGCUUACCAGAAAGGGACGGCUAACUACGUGCCAGCAGCCGCGGUAAUACGUAGGUCCCGAGCGUUGUCCGGAUUUAUUGGGCGUAAAGCGAGCGCAGGCGGUUUGAUAAGUCUGAAGUUAAAGGCUGUGGCUCAACCAUAGUUCGCUUUGGAAACUGUCAAACUUGAGUGCAGAAGGGGAGAGUGGAAUUCCAUGUGUAGCGGUGAAAUGCGUAGAUAUAUGGAGGAACACCGGUGGCGAAAGCGGCUCUCUGGUCUGUAACUGACGCUGAGGCUCGAAAGCGUGGGGAGCGAACAGGAUUAGAUACCCUGGUAGUCCACGCCGUAAACGAUGAGUGCUAGGUGUUGGAUCCUUUCCGGGAUUCAGUGCCGCAGCUAACGCAUUAAGCACUCCGCCUGGGGAGUACGACCGCAAGGUUGAAACUCAAAGGAAUUGACGGGGGCCCGCACAAGCGGUGGAGCAUGUGGUUUAAUUCGAAGCAACGCGAAGAACCUUACCAGGUCUUGACAUCCCGAUGCUAUUUCUAGAGAUAGAAAGUUACUUCGGUACAUCGGUGACAGGUGGUGCAUGGUUGUCGUCAGCUCGUGUCGUGAGAUGUUGGGUUAAGUCCCGCAACGAGCGCAACCCCUAUUGUUAGUUGCCAUCAUUCAGUUGGGCACUCUAGCGAGACUGCCGGUAAUAAACCGGAGGAAGGUGGGGAUGACGUCAAAUCAUCAUGCCCCUUAUGACCUGGGCUACACACGUGCUACAAUGGUUGGUACAACGAGUUGCGAGUCGGUGACGGCAAGCUAAUCUCUUAAAGCCAAUCUCAGUUCGGAUCGUAGGCUGCAACUCGCCUACAUGAAGUCGGAAUCGCUAGUAAUCGCGGAUCAGCACGCCGCGGUGAAUACGUUCCCGGGCCU
rnacentral:rRNA from 1 species